rnacentral:rRNA from 1 species
UACGUAGGGUGCGAGCGUUGUUCGGAAUCACUGGGCUUAAAGGGCGCGUAGGCGGGUCAGCAAGUCCGGGGUGAAAUCUUUCGGCUUAACCGGAAAAGUGCCUUGGAUACUGCUGGUCUAGAGGGAGGUAGGGGCAUGUGGAACUUCCGGUGGAGCGGUGAAAUGCGUUGAUAUCGGAAGGAACGCCGGUGGCGAAAGCGACGUGCUGGAUCUCUUCUGACGCUGAGGCGCGAAAGCCAGGGGAGCAAACGGG